GAUUAACGCUGGCGGCGUGCAUAACACAUGCAAGUCGAACGAUGAAACUCAUUCGAUUUCUUCGGAAUGAAAAUGAAUGGAUUAGUGGCGAACGGGUGAGUAACGCGUGAGUAACCUGCCUUACACAAGGGGAUAGCCUCUGGAAACGGAGAAUAAUACCCUAUGAAACCAGACAAUCGCAUGAUAAUCUGGUCAAAAUGUUUAGUGGUGUAAGAUGGACUUGCGUCUGAUUAGCUAGUUGGUGAGAUAAAAGCUCACCAAGGCAACGAUCAGUAGCCGGCUUGAGAGAGUGUACGGCCACAUUGGGACUGAGACACGGCCCAGACUCCUACGGGAGGCAGCAGUGGGGAAUUUGGCACAAUGGGGGAAACCCUGAUGCAGCGACGCCGCGUGAUUUAGAAGGCCUUCGGGUUGUAAAAAUCUUUUGUAUAGGAAGAAAAUGACAGUACUAUACGAAUAAGGUCCGGCUAAUUACGUG
rnacentral:rRNA from 1 species